rnacentral:rRNA from 1 species
CAGUCGCCGCGGUAAAACGAAGGGUGCAAGCGUUAAUCGGAAUUACUGGGCGUAAAGCGUGCGUAGGCGGUGAGUUAAGUCUGCUGUGAAAUCCCCGGGCUCAACCUGGGAAUGGCAGUGGAUACUGGCAAGCUAGAGUGUGUCAGAGGAUGGUGGAAUUCCCGGUGUAGCGGUGAAAUGCGUAGAGAUCUGGAGGAAUACCGGUGGCGAAGGCGGCCCCCUGGACAAAGACUGACGCUCAGGUGCGAAAGCGUGGGGAGCAAACAGGAUUAGAGACCCCAGUAGUCCCUGUCUCUUAUAC